rnacentral:rRNA from 1 species
ACGAGGGGAGCAAGCGUUGUUCGGAUUUACUGGGCGUAAAGGGCGCGUAGGCGGCCUGUUAAGUCGAACGUGAAAUCCCCGGGCUCAACCCGGGAGCUGCGUCCGAUACUGGCAGGCUUGAAUCCGGGAGAGGGAUGUGGAAUUCCAGGUGUAGCGGUGAAAUGCGUAGAUAUCUGGAGGAACACCGGUGGCGAAGGCGGCCUGCUGGGCAGUGGCUGACACUGAGGCGCGACAGCGUGGGGAGCAAACAGGA